UACGGGGAAGGCAAGCGUUAUUCGUCGUUAUUGGGCGUAAAGGGUACGUAGACGGUAUAUAACUAUAAUUAAAUUAAAUUCAAAAACAGACCUUUUUGAAAAUUAAUUAUUAACAUUAUACUUGAGUAAUGCAUAAGUUAAUAGUAUUUUUAAAGUAGAAAUGAAAUUCGACAAUAAUAAAAAGACUAUCAGUCGGUUAAAACAAUUAACUAAUGUGUUACUAACGUUGAGGUACGAAAGCGUGGGGAGCAAACAGG
rnacentral:rRNA from 1 species